GAUGGAGUCGUCCUUGAAAUACCACCCUUGUAGUUUUGAUGUUCUAACCUAGGUCCCUUAUCGGGAUUAGGGACAGUGCCUGGUGGGUAGUUUGACUGGGGCGGUCUCCUCCCAAAGAGUAACGGAGGAGCACGAAGGUUGGCUAAGUACGGUCGGACAUCGUACGGUUAGUGCAAUGGCAUAAGCCAGCUUAACUGCGAGACAUACACGUCGAGCAGGUACGAAAGUAGGUCAUAGUGAUCCGGUGGUUCUGAAUGGAAGGGCCAUCGCUCAACGGAUAAAAGGUACUCCGGGGAUAACAGGCUGAUACCGCCCAAGAGUUCAUAUCGACGGCGGUGUUUGGCACCUCGAUGUCGGCUCAUCACAUCCUGGGGCUGAAGUCGGUCCCAAGGGUAUGGCUGUUCGCCAUUUAAAGUGGUACGCGAGCUGGGUUCAGAACGUCGUGAGACAGUUCGGUCCCUAUCUGCCGUGGGCGUUGGAUGAUUGAAGGGAGCUGCUCCUAGUACGAGAGGACCGGAGUGGACGAACCGCUGGUGUUCGGGUUGUCAUGCCAAUGGCAUUGCCCGGUAGCUACGUUCGGAAUCGAUAACCGCUGAAAGCAUCUAAGCGGGAAGCGAGCCCUAA
rnacentral:rRNA from 1 species